rnacentral:rRNA from 1 species
CGAGGCGACGAUGCGUAGGGGUUCUGAGAGGAAGGUCCCCCACACUGGUACUGAGACACGGACCAGACUCCUACGGGAGGCAGCAGUGAGGAAUAUUGGUCAAUGGGCGCGAGCCUGAACCAGCCAAGUCGCGUGAGGGAUGGCGGUCCUACGGAUUGUAAACCUCUUUUGCCGGGGAGCAAGCGUGCGUUCGUGAACGCGCGUCGAGAGUACCCGGAGAAAAAGCAUCGGCUAACUCCGUGCCAGCAGCCGCGGUAAUACGGAGGAUGCGAGCGUUAUCCGGAUUUAUUGGGUUUAAAGGGUGCGUAGGCGGGAUGCCAAGUCAGCGGUAAAAAUGCGGUGCUCAACGCCGUCGAGCCGUUGAAACUGGCGUUCUUGAGUGGGCGAGAAGUAUGCGGAAUGCGUGGUGUAGCGGUGAAAUGCAUAGAUAUCACGCAGAACUCCGAUUGCGAAGGCAGCAUACCGGCGCCCUACUGACGCUGAGGCACGAAAGCGUGGGUAUCGAACAGGAUUAGAUACCCUGGUAGUCCACGCAGUAAACGAUGAAUGCUAACUGUCCGG